GAGACUGCAACCACUGCUUACAAUACACGUCAAAAAUAAUUAAAAUAAGAAGGUACUCAAGAAUUUGACAACAGCCAUCAGAAUAGUGGAAGAGAAAACACUAUCACCUGUUGUUAAAAUCAGUACUUAACAUUAAUUUUUCUUGACAGGACAUGUAUGUCAUCUACUUCCUUGUCACCUACUUACAUGAAUGUUAGAAAAUACUCAAGGCACCUUGAUUGUAGAUAAGCUACACAUGGAUUUAAAAUGGGAUAAAGCUUUGCAAUAAAUGUGGAGAAUGAUGGUAGGGAUUGUUAAUGGAUACAAGAUAGGGAUUGUUAAUGGAGAU
rnacentral:lncRNA from 1 species